ensembl:lncRNA
AAAAACCAAAUGAGUUAUAAAGAAACAGAGUAACAAGAUGAAUAUUACUCCAAAUAGAUCAAAUAUAUACAGGAUAUACAUAGAAAAUCAGUCAAAACUCAUCAAAGUUCCCACCUGACAUCCAAAAAAAUCAGCUAAGCAAAAAAUGCAAUAACUUACAUAUUAAAUGAAAUCAUGCAAGGUUUAGUACAAUGAAAAUUAGUUACUGGCCAUCAGAGUAGAUAAGGGUUAAAACUCACUUUUCAUUCCUUGCAAUUUCACCACAGGAGAUAACCAAAUGACCUUUUCAGCACUGAGAAGGCACUAAACUCAGUUAAAAGCUGAAAUUAAAUCAGUUCUAUACCCACUGUAAGUGUCCCCAUCUACAGCCAAUUCACCAUAUUUUUUUCUAAAACCAACUGUAAGCAUCAAUAUUAUGGAAUAUAAUCACCGUUUCAGCAGAAAAAUUGUACUAAUAUAACAUCUGUGAAAUAGAGUAACAGAAACACCCAUCAAAUAUGGUAUGAGUGUUGAUAUUGCGUAGAGAAGCUAAAGAGGGCACUUUGCAACUUAUUUGGAAUGCCAGAAACACAACCAGCCUUUCUGAACAGAGUCGGCAUAAAGGAGUGAAUAAAUAACUACAAACAAAUAUGUGUGUCUGAAAGAAAAAAAAUAUUGGCCGAUAUAGCAGACUUUUUAAAUCAGAAAAUACGGGUAUCUUAAAAGUCCUACAUCAGUCAGGCUCUAGUUUAAUGAUAUCACCAUGUGUGUAACUGGUAAAAACCAACAGCAUGAAAGGUCUGCUUGGUACCAGUUUGGUACCAUGCUCAUCUGUGACUUCUUCUAGUGGGUGGAUGUAAAAUUCAUUUGGUUAAGGUUAAAUGUGUUUUUGCACUCUGAUAAUUUCAUGUACUUCAUGUACUUAAGAAGUGCAUUGAGGUCUAAAAAAACGCUGUAAAAAAAUAAGGCGAAUUAAAAGGCGACUAAAUUUCCACCCGCUCCAUGUACUCAUUUCAGGUCUGUAAGUCAGAAAAUAUCCACAGUAUGAACAGAAAAUGUUGCAUGACUUCAUUUAGUAUGCUGAAGAUAUUGCACACAAAAAUAGCUUUUCUGGGAGGUUAAAUGAGAGGCAUUCACAGGUAUUUCAUGUAAACAUGAUUGCUGGUGAGCAACUUUUUUUUAUUAGCACACCCCCCUUGAUACAUUUAGAUUAGAGGCAUCACACACACUUGUAAACCUCACCUCUUUGUUCAGAUACUGAAUUAAGGACUAAACUGACUCAGCAAUGAAUCGCUUUUAAAGCUGAUUGGAAUGUCUCAAAAAGUUGUUUGUGUUAUUUUAUUGUGUGUCCACAAACUGUUGGGAAAUAACCUGUGAGAAGUAAACACUUUGCACUUGGUCAGUGUGCGUGUGUGUGUGUGCUUUAAACCUAACAAUACUUUUAGUGCUGAUUUUAUGUCUGUAUUCUCUAUUAAAAGCUGUCCUCUUGUGCGUUUAUCUCACGGAUAUGUUGAGCCUCUGUGAACCGGGAGCCCAACGGAGGAAAUUAAACUGCCUCCGAGAGCGUCACACUUCAUCAAAGUUACCAAAAAGCAGUGAGAGCAAACGUUUCAAAAAGAGAAUGACAGAAAAUGGCAUCAGCAGCUGCAUCAGUUAAUUGAAGAUUAGUGUGAUGAGAUAGCAGGCUGGCAGUGCUAAAGGCCAUCAGCUGUCUCCCGAAGAUAUUCAGAAUAUCGUAUUCAUUAGAAUAAUUCAGAUGAAUUCAUGGUGGCUUGUCAUGGUCAUACAAAAACAGACCGCAGCCAGCAGCUCAGUGCCAUAAAAGUGACAGGGUUACAGGAACGGGGCAGCGGUGGCCUAGAGGACAGAGGGGAACAUCAUAAGUUCAAAUGCAUGAACUGGAAAGCUCUGCUAAGAAUGUGCAUGAGAAAAAGAUAUCUUUAACUCUGCCUUUUGGAGUGCCCUCAAGCAGGGCUCUCCAUGAAAGGACUGCAACAGAGCUGGGCAGCUGUUUGCAGCCCAAGUGAAUGGGAAUCAGGCCGUGACAAUAAAAAACUACUUGCAUUUA